GGAGGACCGAGUGCCGCUCAC
rnacentral:siRNA from 1 species